ACUAACGCUGGCGGCGUGCUUAACCCCUGCAAGUCGCACGGAAAGGCCCUGCUUUUGUGGGGUGCUCGAGUGGCGAACGGGUGAGUAACACGUGAGUAACCUGCCCUUGACUUUGGGAUAACUUCAGGAAACUGGGGCUAAUACCGGAUAGGAGCUCCUGCUGCAUGGUGGGGGUUGGAAAGUUUCGGCGGUUGGGGAUGGACUCGCGGCUUAUCAGCUUGUUGGUGGGGUAGUGGCUUACCAAGGCUUUGACGGGUAGCCGGCCUGAGAGGGUGACCGGCCACAUUGGGACUGAGAUACGGCCCAGACUCCUACGGGAGGCAGCAGUGGGGAAUAUUGCACAAUGGGCGGAAGCCUGAUGCAGAAACGCCGCGUGCGGGAUGACGGCCUUCGGGUUGUAAACCGCUUUCGCCUGUGACGAAGCGUGAGUGACGGUAAUGGGUAAAGAAGCACCGGCUAACUACGUG
rnacentral:rRNA from 1 species